UUCUAAAUGUUUGAUCUUCAGUGUACGUGUGUGAGGAGAACUAUUCUUCAGGACAUGAAAUGAGGAAUUGGGCGAGCCAGACAUCACUGACACAAAAUACCUCUCCUACUGAUUUCGUUAUCAUGGACAACG